AAGGUACAGAGAAAAGGGAAACAGAGUCAAAGUGAAAAGAAACUAAGUCCAAGUCAGAGUCACAGAGAAAAGGGAAACAGAGUGAGAGCAAAAAGAAACUAAAUCCAAGUCAGAGAGAAAAGGGAAACAGAGGGGGAGCAAAAAGAAACUGAGUCAGAGUCACAGUCACAGAGAAAAGGGAAAGAGAGGGGGAGCAAAAAGAAACUAAGUCCAAGUCAAAGUCAGAGUCAGAGUUACAGAGAAAAGGGAAACAGAGUGAGAGCAAAAAGAAACUAAGUCCAAGUCAGAGUCACAGAGAAAAGGGAAACAGAGGGGGAGCAAAAAGAAACUAAGUCCAAGUCAGAGUCACAGAGAAAAGGGAAACAGAGUCAAAGUGAAAAGAAAGAGAGGGACAGUGGAGAGAAACCAACUCUACUUCCUUUCCAUCUAACUCAGAGGCAGAGAGAAAGGAAACUGAGACAAUCCCUGUUCACUGUAACUCGGAGUUACAGUGGAAAGGAAUCGAGUCCAGUUGCUUUCUGUCUAACUCGGAGCUAGAGGGAAAGGAAACCGAGUUGGAGAGAAAAGAAACCGAGGGAGAGUGGAGAGAAACUAACUCUAUUUCUUUUCUUUCUAACUCAGAGGCAGAGAGAAAGGAAACUUAGACAAUUCCUGUUCACCGUAACUCGGAGUUACGGUGGAAAGGAAUCGAGUCCAGUUGCUUUCUGUCUAACUCGGAGCUAGAGGGAAAGGAAACAGAGUUGGAGAGAAAAGAAACAGAAAAAUAGAGUGAGCAACAGUGACAGAGACUUAGAGAAAGUUAGAAAGAGAUUGAAAAGCAAGAAAUAGAAUGAAAAUAAUGACUACACCACACCAAAAACACAAGAGCCGGGGGGGAGAGGGGGGAGGGGGAUGAAGGUUUAUUCACCUUUAUUUAAUGAAUUUAUUUACACUACAGCAAAACACAGAGAAACUGGAGACAAAUGCAUUACAAUACAAUCCAUGUACACACUGAAAAAUUCCUAAUUCACAUACAGAGUAAUACAGUGAAACACAGCAGCAAAUGCAAAUACAGAACAAUACAAGCCAAAUACAUAUUAACAGAAUAUAACUAUUUCUACAGUUCUGGAAAGGUCAAUACAUGCUGUUUCAUUAUUACUGCUAUGCCAAACCACAAGGAGCACACAGAAAACACAAUACUCAUUCGCCACAGAAGCCGGCUUCAGCUCGCACACAUACUCACCUUCACACUCCUCUCCACCGCCCCAUUAUAAUCCUGCUGUCGUUGGUCCUCGGGAACGUGGUUCCCGGGACCCUGAAAAUCAGCCUGCCUGACGAAAACCUCGGUCCGGGGCCGGUCCGUGCCCAAACUUUGGCGAUGACUGUCGCCUCGCAGACCGGCCGGGACCGAGGAAAAAAAA